rnacentral:lncRNA from 1 species
AAGGUUCCCUAACAAAUUAUAUUUGUAAUUAAAUUUGCUCUGUCUCGAGCUCCCAAAGUUAAUUAGCUUUAUAAUUUGGUCUUGGCGUUUGGCACGGCUCCUUGCCUGAAUUUGCUCUGUCUCGAGCUCUCAAGGAGCCAUGCCAAACGCCAAGACCAAAUUAUAAAGUGGAAUUCUUAUAUGUCCUAUUCCCAGUAAAAGACAUUUCUUCAAGCUGAGCACAUCGCGCACACACACACACACACACACAAAUUCAGUACUACGACUAGACAAUCUGAACUCUGAACGCAUGCUGUGACAUCUGAGCCGGUCCCCUACAAGCAGAUCUCAGUCCUGUAUCUAAAAUCUUGGAAGCAAACAUUAUUAGACUAUAUCUGCAUGUCAUAUCUCUGGCCGACCAAUAUCUAUUCUAUUCCAACCUGCCAUAUCUUCUCUUCAGUCCUCCAGCCACACUUGGAACGUUCUUUCUCUAUCUUUCACUUGUAGUUUUCCUUUCAUGGUGCAUGCACACUCUAUAACUGGCCAGACAAGCCUCGCCCCGGGUCAUACCUCGACAGCAGCCGCCUCUGUCCAAACGCCACAGAACAAACACCAACAGAUGGAAGUCAAUUGCCAUUGUACAUGGUAAGUUGGUAGCUGAAUACUUACCUUCAGUAGUGCAAUUUUCAGAGAAGGG